UACGUAGGGAGCAAGCGUUGUCCGGAAUCAUUGGGCGUAAAGCGCGCGUAGGUGGCCACAUAAGUCCGUUGUGAAAGUCAAAAGGCUCAACCUUUGAAAGCCGAUGGAUACUGUGUGGCUAGAGUACGGAAGAGGCGAGUGGAAUUCCUGGUGUAGCGGUGAAAUGCGUAGAUACCAGGAGGAACACCGGUGGCGAAGGCGGUUCCUGGCCCAGUACUGACGCUGAGGCACGAAAGCGUGGGGAGCGAACGGG
rnacentral:rRNA from 1 species